AGUGAACGCUGGCGGUAGGCCUAACACAUGCAAGUCGAACGGCAGCACCGUCAGAGCUUGCUCUUACGGGUGGCGAGUGGUGGACGGGUGAGGAAUACAUCGGAAUUUACUUUUUCGUGGGGGAUGACGUAGGGAAACUUACGCUAUUACAGCAUCCGACCUACGGGUGAAAGCAGGGGAUCUUCGGACCUUGCGCGAUUGUAUGAGCCGAUGUCGGAUUAGCUAGUCGGCGGGGUAAAGGCCCACCAAGGCGACGAUCCGUAGCUGGUCUGCGAGGAUGAGCAGCCACACUGGAACUGAGACACGGUCCAGACUCCUACGGGAGGCAGCAGUGGGGAAUAUUGGACAAGGGGCGCAAGCCGGAUCCAGCCAUACCGCGUGGGUGAAGAAGGCCUUCGGGUUGGAAAGCCCUUUUGUUGGGAAAGAAAAGCAGCAGGUUAAGACCCCGCUGUGCUGACGGUACCCAAAGAAUAAGCACCGGCUAACUUCGUG
rnacentral:rRNA from 1 species